CGAAUAGGGAGAAUAGCCCGGACGGAGAUCACAGAAACGUCCCACGACAACUCUGCAGCUUCAAUCCGAUCCGACUCCCCGUCACAAGGCUGCACACUGUGCAAACAGUGACACAAGGUAUGGCCAUAGACAGGAAGGAAGCGGGGGAUUGGACAGAACAAUGCCCAUACGUGCUCCAGAAGAAGAAGAAGGCACCCAUGAAAAAGAAGAAGAGGGGGAAAAAAACUAGUUCAAUGCAAACACAGCUGAAAGAGAGCUGGCCGUGUCCACAUGUCCUCCCUAUAUAGACUGAUUAAACUGAUGGAGAGAGCGGGUUUGGCCGAGCACACAAUUGGCUGGGAAUCAUCCAAAGUUUGUCUUGCAAAACAAGUCAAAUGCGCAAAAGUAAACUUGCAGGAAAGGGCACAAGGAAUGUAGCAUGCAUAUACUUUUGAUUUGACAAAAGUGUAGCAUACAGUACGCAUAUACUUUUGAUUUUUAAAAAUAAUGUAUUUAAUUCCGUAUCAAUGUUGUUUAUUAAGAAGGACAGUGCCAGUUUUACAGCACUGGAUUUGUUGAGCUGAAAUGGUUUAUGAUUCUUUAGAUGUAAAUAGAUCGUACAUCCAUACUUGAAUGAAGAAUAUUAUAUUUUCAUUGUUUACUGAAAUAUUUCAUAAUGAGCCCUGUGUGUAGUUGCGUGCCAGAUUUCCAAGCCUUGGCUCAUGUUUAUUGGUAAAGAGAGAGAGAGAGCUACAGUACUCCAUGCCAAUAACCUCGGGCAUAUUUUUUUAAACAUGCACAGAACAAGGUCUCCUCUAGGGGGCAGUGUUAUUGUUCACACCGGUCCUGAAGUCUGUUCCAACUGCAUGGACUUCAACCCUGUGUUGCACCUAGCCGUUGAAGUCAGAUUUAUUUAAAUUUUGUGGAAAUGCUUAACUUCAAGAUUAUUAUUUUUGUGAUAAAAUGCAAAUGCAUAAAACAGGAUAAAAAUGUAAUGUUUCAUAAAUCAUUAAAGAGACGCUAAAUAAACAGCUGAUUUGCAGCAAUGUCAACAGA